rnacentral:misc_RNA from 1 species
CCCACUGCUCUCCGUCUUCUCUCUGUUCAUUUGUCUGCUUGAGUCGUGCAUUUCUCUUCAGCGUGGCGGCGACAUACUGCGCGUCCCUCUCUUGACCUCCCUCUCAGUCUUUCGUUUUAUAUACCGUCUUCCUCUCCCGACUCUCUCGUUCUCCGAGCCUUCCCGCUGUAGCGCAGCCCUUCAAGGCACAUUCGCCCUUCGUGCACCUGCUUCACUUGCGUGUGCGUGCGUGUGUGUGACAUCGACGCAAUGGCGACCAACAACGCGAACUACCGCAUCAAGACCAUCAAGGAUGGCUGCACCGCCGAGGAGUUGUUCCGGGGCGAUGGACUGACGUACAACGACUUUAUUAUUCUGCCAGGCUUCAUCGACUUUGGCGCUGCCGAUGUGAACAUCUCCGGCCAGUUCACGAAGCGCAUCCGCCUCCACAUCCCGAUCGUGUCGUCGCCGAUGGACACCAUUACGGAGAACGAGAUGGCGAAGACAAUGGCACUUAUGGGCGGCGUCGGUGUGCUGCACAACAACUGCACGGUGGAGCGGCAAGUGGAGAUGGUGAAGUCGGUGAAGGCGUACCGCAACGGAUUCAUCUCCAAGCCCAAGUCGGUGCCUCCGAACACUCCCAUCAGCAACAUCAUCCGUAUCAAGGAGGAAAAGGGCAUCAGCGGUAUUCUUGUGACGGAGAACGGCGACCCGCACGGCAAGCUGCUUGGCAUCGUGUGCACGAAGGAUAUAGACUACGUAAAGAACAAGGACACGCCGGUAUCGGCGGUUAUGACGCGACGUGAGAAGAUGACGGUGGAGCGUGCACCGAUUCAGCUGGAAGAGGCAAUGGACGUGCUGAACCGCAGCCGCUACGGCUACCUGCCUAUCGUGAACGAGAACGACGAGGUUGUCAAUCUCUGCUCCCGUCGCGAUGCUGUCCGCGCGCGUGACUACCCGCACAGCACACUGGACAAGAGCGGUCGACUCAUCUGCGCUGCCGCAACCUCAACGCGCCCGGAGGACAAGCGGCGAGUGGCAGCUCUGGCGGAUGUCGGCGUUGAUGUUCUGGUUCUGGACAGUUCUCAGGGCAACACGAUCUACCAGAUCGCCUUCAUCAAGUGGGUCAAGUCGACCUAUCCGCACCUCGAGGUGGUGGCGGGAAAUGUGGUGACGCAAGAUCAGGCCAAGAACCUCAUCGAUGCCGGCGCGGACGGUAUUCGCAUCGGCAUGGGCAGCGGCAGCAUCUGCAUCACGCAGGAGGUUCUAGCUUGCGGUCGUCCUCAGGGUACGGCGGUGUACAAGGUGGCACAGUACUGCGCGUCCCGCGGCGUUCCGUGCACUGCUGACGGCGGCCUUCGCCAGGUCGGCGACAUCUGCAAGGCGCUUGCCAUCGGUGCCAACUGCGCGAUGCUCGGCGGCAUGUUGAGUGGCACAACUGAGACGCCUGGCGAGUACUUCUUCAAGGGCGGCGUGCGCCUGAAGGUGUACCGCGGCAUGGGGAGCCUGGAGGCGAUGAGCCAGGGCAAGGAAUCCGGCAAGCGCUACCUCUCCGAGAACGAGGCGGUACAGGUUGCACAGGGCGUGUCUGGCAACGUCGUGGACAAGGGCUCUGCCGCGAAGCUCAUUGCCUACGUCUCGAAAGGGCUCCAGCAGUCGGCGCAGGACAUCGGCGAGAUCAGCUUCGACGCGAUUCGCGAGAAGAUGUACGCCGGCCAGGUGCUUUUCAGUCGCCGCUCCCCCACGGCCCAGGGCGAGGGGGGCGUGCACUCGCUUCACAGCUACGAGAAGAAGUUGUUUGCAGCCAAGAUGUAGGACGUGCAGGCAGUUCUCUUCCAUUCGCCUAACUGUCCUCCCCUCUCGCGUCGUCUCCGUGCCCUUCUCUUGCUGCUGCUUGCGCUUGAAAAAGCGCGUGCCUUGAUCGACGACUUGGCGCCUUUUACUGCUGCUGGCUUGCUCAGCGUCGUGGAACACACGCAAGCAACAGACGCAGUCCACACAUCCCCCCUCCCAAGAGGUCAAGUUGCACUCACGGGCUAUUCUGAGCACGGCUUGGAUGAGACCAUCCCCGUCAUCUUUUUUCCUUUGCUGCUAUGCCUUUCGAGCCCGCCGUGCAAGAGGUAUCCACCGCGUGCCACCUGAAAUGGGGCAGGAGGGCUGCAGAGGUGCACGCUUGCGCGACUCGGGGGGACAGCCAAAGAGAGGGAGAGAGCGGGGCGCAGUUGCUCUUGUCCAUGAACUAUGCCUGUGCGCCACUCAAACUGCCCAGUGCGUUUUUGUGCGCAUCUUCAUGAAGAGAGUAGCAACCUCUCAUAUGGAGAAGACUCAUCAGCAACGUGAACGUCAUCGACAACGUUUGGCAGGCGCCUGGGAAUGAGUCGUUCCUCCGUCUCUCGCGCCUGUCUCCUUGUGCGUGAUUUGUCUUACUUUUCCUUGCCGAACCCCUCUACCAACGAGCCUGCCUCACCGUCGGAUGACAAGGCCUCUUUUCAACGCAGGUUGACACGUAAUCUUAAUCGAUAUAACGCACUCAAGGUAAAAUAUAUCACGUUCCCCCUCGCCGCCGCCGCCGCCUGCCCUGUCGUCUCACGCCGCACUCCUCGGCAUCGCUUUGGGUGAGACCCGCCGACGCGCCAUCCCAAGCAGUGCAGGCGUUUGCAAGCGUGUGCGUGCCUCUCCCUCUGUUGUUGUUGGCAUUUCUUUCGCCAUUGUUCUCUUCUCUCCUUUUUAUCUGUGCUGAGUGGCGCUUCGGCCUCGUAAAUUUUCUCCAAGCACACGCACACAAACGUUCUGAGGGCCGCCGUCGGGCUUGUUUGUCUUUCUUCAUGCUUGCCGGCGUGACCUCCCUACCGAGAGCGAGGGCAGUCUCUACUCCGCCUUUGAGGCAGAGAGAAAUCACGACCUCAAAAUGGACGCGCAAUACAUGAGCGGACCGCGGGUGUAUGUGUGCGUACGUGAUUCGGUGUGGGUGGCUCCCAGACGCCCUCAUUUCUUUCUUCGCUAUCAACGUAUAUCGCUCCCACUCACAUCGAUAGCCUCUCAUGUGGUGUGCCUGCGUCUUUGCCGUGUUACACGAAUGGCGGUACCUAAAGGCUUUCACUUGCGCCCUGCGCACGUUCACCAUUCUCGCGCACAACUCAUCCAGUGGGCUCUGCCGUCGUUUGCGGAAGAGAGUGGUGCUCGCGCCACCGACGUACACAUCGAGGGUGUAAGCGUGUCCCUCUCACUUUGUGGCGUGCGUCGUUGCCAGGAGCGGUCUCUUC